rnacentral:rRNA from 1 species
GUAACGCGUGAGUAACCUGCCUUUCAGAGGGGGAGUAACGUUCUGAAAAGAAACGCUAAUACCGCAUAACAUCAAUUUAUCGCAUGAUAGGUUGAUCAAAGGAGCAAUCCGCUGGAAGAUGGACUCGCGUCCGAUUAGCCAGUUGGCGGGGUAACGGCCCACCAAAGCGACGAUCGGUAGCCGGACUGAGAGGUUGAACGGCCACAUUGGGACUGAGACACGGCCCAGACUCCUACGGGAGGCAGCAUG